rnacentral:hammerhead_ribozyme from 1 species
GUCCAAACGACGGGUCUCAAAUAGGACGAGACGCACGUCCUGGAU